rnacentral:lncRNA from 1 species
CACGGACCCACAGCCCUAUGACUUCAUCGUGGACUGAGGACGAACCGCAGUCGACUUGCGCCAGCCCAGAGGCUGGGGAGGCGUCCGAGCCUCCGUCCCGCCUCGUCGUUGAAGAAGAAUCCUGAUCUGGGCUACCCUAUCUGUGCUUCUGGUGAGGUGGGCCCAGAACCAUCGUGUGAAUAAUGAUUGACCUCAGCUAGUGGUUCUCAUGGAGUGAUUGAUUUUGCUUCCCAGAGGACAUCAGCAAUGUCUGGAGACAUUUCCAGUUGUCACUACUUGAGAGGAAGCGUGAUCGGCCUCUAGAAGGGAGAGACCAGGGAUGCCGCUGCUCAAUAUCCUAUAAUGCACAGAACAGCUUCUACGACAAAGAGUUAUUCCACCAAAAAUGUCAGUAGUGCCAAGGUUGAGAGAACCUGCUCUAGGGUAAUCAGUGUGGUCCCAAUCUCCCUGUCAGUAACUGAUUCAACUCACAUAAUAAUCUUAUGGGAGUGUGAUGUAAUUCUAGCCAAUAAAAUGCAAUGGGAAGUUGGCCGAGAUACUUCUGAAAAAAUCUUCUCUUACCCCUAAAAAGAGACAUUCAUUUUCUGUUGAAAUGCAUUACUUUCCUAAAUAAAAUCAUAUUUACCAACAACGAGAAAAAGAGAAACAUGCAAGAAACCAUCUGUUUGCUGCUAGAUGCCAUUGUGUCUGCAAUGUGAUAUCUGGAACUAUGGCUGUCAUCCUGGAACCAUGAGAGGAGUUAGCUGAAGAAACAGGAGGAUGGCAAAGCGGAAGGAUGGAAGUUACCUGAGGCUGAGGACAUCAGUGCACCUCUGAUUUAACCAAUCCUUGAGACUUCUUGUUAUAUGAGAUAAUAAAUUCUAUUGCUAUUUAAGUCAUGUAUAGGGCUUUAAAACAUUUCAUAGCUGAAAACAUCCUGAUAUAUAUUUUAUAUUUUUAUUUGAUAUGUGGAAGAGAAAAUAAAAUAUGGGAGGAAAGACACUAACCUCCUUUGGGGGCAGGCUCUACAAUUGUCCAGUAAUAAAAUAAUUUUCUUUGCUGUGCUUCCAGAAUGAUCUUAAACUAAUGAUACCAGAAGUUGAUAAAAUCAGUGGGGGAAACAGUCUGUCUAUUAAUGCAUAAGAUUGUGUUAUUUAAGUAAAUGAGUAGGCACUCAUGUGACAUUUUGAAAUCUUCAAGAAAAUGAUAUUUUCCAGUCACUGCAAUUUAAUUUGGGGGAGCCUGCAGCAUUAGCAUGAGACCAGCCAGCCUGUCCUUAUUCUUCUCAAGCCCUAGCACACCUAAUUCACAGGCACCUGCUACAGCAAAGGAGGAGCUGCCUGGCUAAAACAACCUAGUUACAUCAGCCUGCUAAAAAUGGUCCUAGGGAUAGAUUUUGCUCAGCAUUGAGUUCUUUGAAUAACAACAACAAAAAAAACCCAGCAACUUAUUCUGCAGUUUUAGGGUUUGCUGACAUUUUUU